rnacentral:rRNA from 1 species
GAUGAACGCUGGCGGCGUGCCUAAUACAUGCAAGUCGAGCGAACAGACGGGGAGCUUGCUCCUCUGACGUUAGCGGCGGACGGGUGAGUAACACGUGGAUAACCUACCUAUAAGACUGGGAUAACUUCGGGAAACCGGAGCUAAUACCGGAUAAUAUAUUGAACCGCAUGGUUCAAUAGUGAAAGACGGUUUUGCUGUCACUUAUAGAUGGAUCCGCGCCGCAUUAGCUAGUUGGUAAGGUAACGGCUUACCAAGGCAACGAUGCGUAGCCGACCUGAGAGGGUGAUCGGCCACACUGGAACUGAGACACGGUCCAGACUCCUACGGGAGGCAGCAGUAGGGAAUCUUCCGCAAUGGGCGAAAGCCUGACGGAGCAACGCCGCGUGAGUGAUGAAGGUCUUCGGAUCGUAAAACUCUGUUAUUAGGGAAGAACAAAUGUGUAAGUAACUAUGCACGUCUUGACGGUAUCUAAUCAGAAAGCCACGGCUAACUACGUG